rnacentral:rRNA from 1 species
CGAGUGGCGAACGGGUGAGUAACACGUGGGUGAUCUGCCCUGCACUUCGGGAUAAGCCUGGGAAACUGGGUCUAAUACCGGAUAGGACGAUGGUUUGGAUGCCAUUGUGGAAAGUUUUUCGGUGUGGGAUGAGCUCGCGGCCUAUCAGCUUGUUGGUGGGGUAAUGGCCUACCCAGGCGUCGACGGGUAGCCGGCCUGAGAGGGUGUACGGCCACAUUGGGACUGAGAUACGGCCCAG